rnacentral:rRNA from 1 species
AACCCGGUGAUCUAUCCAUGGGCAGGUUGAAGGUUGGGUAACACUAACUGGAGGACCGAACCGACUAAUGUUGAAAAAUUAGCGGAUGACUUGUGGAUGGGGGUGAAAGGCCAAUCAAACCGGGAGAUAGCUGGUUCUCCCCGAAAGCUAUUUAGGUAGCGCCUCGUGAACUCAUCUUCGGGGGUAGAGCACUGUUUCGACUAGGGGGUCAUCCCGACUUACCAACUCGAUGCAAACUGCGAAUACCGAAGAAUGUUAUCACGGGAGACACACGGCGGGUGCUAACGUCCGUCGUGAAGAGGGAAACAACCCAGACCGCCAGCUAAGGUCCCAAAGUCAUGGUUAAGUGGGAAACGAAGUGGGAAGGCUCAGACAGCCAGGAUGUUGGCUUAGAAGCAGCCAUCAUUUAAAGAAAGCGUAAUAGCUCACUGGUCGAGUCGGCCCGCGCGGAAGAUGUAACGGGGCUAAACCAUGCACCGAAGCUGCGGCAGCGACACAAAGUGUUGUUGGGUAGGGGAGCGUUCUGUAAGCCUGCGAAGGUGUACUGUGAGGUAUGCUGGAGGUAUCAGAAGUGCGAAUGCUGACAUAAGUAACGAUAAUGCGGGUGAAAAACCCGCACGCCGGAAGACCAAGGGUUCCUGUCCAACGUUAAUCGGGGCAGGGUGAGUCGACCCCUAAGGCGAGGCUGAAAAGCGUAGUCGAUGGGAAACGGGUUAAUAUUCCCGUACUGGUGGUAACUGCGAUGGGGGAACGGAGAAGGCUAGGUUGUCCGGGCGACGGUCGUCCCGGUUCAAGCAGGUAGGCAGAGUGAUUAGGCAAAUCCGGUCACUUAAUGCUGAGAUGUGAUGACGAACCACCAAGGUGGUGAAGCAAUUGAUGCCCCGCUUCCAGGAAAAGCCUCUAAGCUUCAGGUUACCAACAAUCGUACCCCAAACCGACACAGGUGGUCAGGUAGAGAAUACUCAGGCGCUUGAGAGAACUCGGGUGAAGGAACUAGGCAAAAUGGUGCCGUAACUUCGGGAGAAGGCACG